rnacentral:rRNA from 1 species
GGACCCGCACAAGUAGUGGAGCAUGUGGUUUAAUUCGAAGAUACGCGCAGAACCUUACCAACACUUGACAUGUUCGUCGCGACUCUGAGAGAUCAGAGUUUUCGGUUCGGCCGGACGAAACACAGGUGCUGCAUGGCUGUCGUCAGCUCGUGUCGUGAGAUGUUGGGUUAAGUCCCGCAACGAGCGCAACCCUCACUUUUAGUUGCCAUCAUUAAGUUGGGCACUCUGAAAGAACUGCCAGUGAUAAGCUGGAGGAAGGUGGGGAUGACGUCAAGUCCUCAUGGCCCUUACGUGUUGGGCUACACACGUGCUACAAUGAUAUCUACAACAGGAAGCAAAACGGCGACGUUAAGCAAAUCCUUAAAAGAUACCUCAGUUCGGAUUGCACUCUGCAACUCGAGUGCAUG